rnacentral:misc_RNA from 1 species
UAGAGAAAACAAAAUGGUGGACCAACUUUGAAGUGAAUGAAGGAAAAAUCUCCAAUGGUGGAUGAAAGUUCGUGUCUUCAAGAGAUACAAAACCUUAUAAGCACUUGCGGAAAAUCUGGACGAAAGUCAUGGCUUGAUAUUUGUGUGAAGACUGAAGAAUAUUUGCAGGAAGCCUCUGUCAAGCAGAGAUUGUCAAUCCUUGACAUAGUUUGGAAAUGGAUUUCAAUACUUGUAAAGAAAGAUGACUUUACGUCUAACAAUACUGAAGAAUUCAUACUUCUUCUCACCAGAGUUUGGUGUACAAUUUAUCUCUGCUCCUUGGGAAACCUCAAACUUUGUCAAAAAGUUAAAAAGGUUUUCAGCUCUCUUUGUGUAAUCAGACCCUAUCAUGCCAAAUGUGAAAUCAAAAGAAAUAUCAGUGAGCUUCUGUCCUCUCCCACAAACCAAAUUGUGAAUGCUGUUGAAAUAGUUUGUCAGCUAAUUGAUGUUUCUGAACUUGGAAAGGAGUGUGUGGAUGAGCUGUUUGAUGACUUUGUUACGUCCAUUUCUCAUUGUUUGGACUCUUACUGUCAGCAGUAUAUUCAGCACAACUCUGAGGAAGCUGGAUUGCCAUUUAACUCAGAUGUUUUUCAGACUAUUGUAAAGGCAGUUCUGAAGACCUUCCAGUACUUCCCAAAGAAAGUUGGUUUGCUCAUUUGCGACAGCACUGCAACUGAAGGAAACACAGUCCUGGAGACGAUCAUAAAUAACCUGUGGAGGAUAUUAUUUUGCAAGAUCCUUCAUAAGGAAUGUACAUUUCUGUGUGGAACAGCCAUAGGCUUGUUGCUAGGCAUUGCUGCAGAUCUGGAGCCUUGCUUGUGUGCCAAAGAAAUUGUUACACAGUUAUUAAUUGCAUCAGGAGCAUCAUUCAUGAAGAACCAAGCUGUACCACAGCACUACCACUCUGUGAUGAUUGGAUGUUUUAAAUUUGAGUUGCCAUUAGUUCAGUACAGACCUAUCACCCAGUUAGCCAUUGUAAUGGGCAUCAUUAAAUCACAGAAAAAGGAAAUUCUACUGGAGAUGGGUAAUGAGGAGCAAACUACUCUGAUGGAAGGACUGCUGUUUCAGACCAUAUACACUCUCUGUAAAGAGAGCAAAAAUUCACCAGUUCAUUAUGUAGCUUUUGAAGCCAUGAGGCAGUGGCUUCUGUGCAUGAAGAGUCUUCUCAAGAAGAAAGCAUUCCAUGAAGGUUCCAAGUGGAUGACAAGUGUGGAGUCAUAUCAUGUCACUCAUCUAAUUGAAAUUAUUUGGGAGAAUCUAGAAGACCCUAUGGUGUACCAGGCUUGGCAGUUACUCUGUUUAGCUUGUUGCUUGAGUUACACAAAGAUGAAGAGAUGGCAAGAAAUUCAGUGGAUGAAGCAUUUUACGCAUCACUUAGGGAUAAAGUCAUAGGACUUCCUUGGCAUGUGAAAGGAAGAUAUGGCUUGAUUUGUUCACUUCUGUCUUGUAUUGGCCUUCAACAGAUCCUAGAAAAACAGCCUUCUCUUUUGGAUGAUUUGAUUCGUUGCCUUGGAGUCAAUCAACUGACAUCUCCUUCAACAAAUGCUUUC